rnacentral:rRNA from 1 species
GGUUCCUUCUUAGAGUUAGCUCGUGGCUCAGGGGGGGGGAUCCCCCCCUAAAAAUUUAGCCCGGCACCCGUGAGUAACACGUGCCCCCCUGCCCAUAAGACUGGGAUAACUCCGGGAAACCGGGGCUAAUACCGGAUAACAUUUUGAACCGCAUGGUUCGAAAUUGAAAGGCGGCUUCGGCUGUCACUUAUGGAUGGACCCGCGUCGCAUUAGCUAGUUGGUGAGGUAACGGCUCACCAAGGCAACGAUGCGUAGCCGACCUGAGAGGGUGAUCGGCCACACUGGGACUGAGACACGGCCCAGACUCCUACGGGAGGCAGCAGUAGGGAAUCUUCCGCAAUGGACGAAAGUCUGACGGAGCAACGCCGCGUGAGUGAUGAAGGCUUUCGGGUCGUAAAACUCUGUUGUUAGGGAAGAACAAGUGCUAGUUGAAUAAGCUGGCACCUUGACGGUACCUAACCAGAAAGCCACGGCUAACUACGUGCCAGCAGCCGCGGUAAUACGUAGGUGGCAAGCGUUAUCCGGAAUUAUUGGGCGUAAAGCGCGCGCAGGUGGUUUCUUAAGUCUGAUGUGAAAGCCCACGGCUCAACCGUGGGGGGUCAUUGAAAAACUGGGAGACUUGGAGUGCAGAAGAGGAGAGUGGAAUUCCAUGUGGAGCGGUGAAAUGCGUAGAGAUAUGGAGGAACACCCAUGGCGAAGGCGACUUUCUGGUCUGUAACUGAAACUGAGCGCGAAAGGGUGAGGAGCAAACAGAUUAAAUGCCCCUGGUGAGUCCCCACCCGUAGCGGAUGAGUGCUAAGUUGUUUAAGGGUUUCCGCCCCUUUAGUGCUGGAGUUA